rnacentral:rRNA from 1 species
UACGAAGGGGGCUAGCGUUGUUCGGAAUUACUGGGCGUAAAGCGCGCGCAGGCGGUCCUUCAAGUCAGAGGUGAAAGCCCAGAGCUCAACUCUGGAACGGCCUUUGAGACUAGAGGACUUGGGUACGGGAGAGGUGAGUGGAAUUCCGAGUGUAGAGGUGAAAUUCGUAGAUAUUCGGAAGAACACCAGUGGCGAAGGCGGCUCACUGGCCAGUUACCGACGCUCAGGCGCGACAGCGUGGGGAGCAAACAGG